rnacentral:rRNA from 1 species
UACGGAGACUGCGAACGUUACUCGGAUUCACUGGGCGUAAGGGUGCGCAGGCGGCUAAUUGUGUCAGGUGUGAAAUCCCAGGCUUAACUCUGGAACUGCGCCUGAAACUGAUUGGCUAGAGACUCGGAGAGGUAAGCGGAAUUCCAGGUGUAGCGGUGAAAUGCUUAGAUAUCGUCAAGAACACCGAUAGCGAAGGCAGCUUACUAGGCUGUAACUGACGCUGAGGCACGAAAGUGUGGGGAUCAAACAGG